UAAAGUUGUUGCGGUUAAAAAGCUCGUAGUCGGAGGUGUGUCUCGGACGGUCGGUUCGCCGCUUGUCGGUGCUCAACUGGCCGGUCCGGACGUCCUGCCGGUGGGGCUGUAAAAGGCUCCGUUAUCCUUCUUUGGUCCUCUUCACUGAGUGCCUUGGUGGGCCGGCACGUUUACUUUGAACAAAUUAGAGUGCUCAAAGCAGGCCGUUGGUCGCCUGAAUACUGUGUGCAUGGAAUAAUGGAAUAGGACCUCGGUUCCAUUUUGUUGGUUUUCAGAACUCGAGGUAAUGAUUAAUAGGGACGGACGGGGGCAUUCGUAUUGCGACGUUAGAGGUGAAAUUCUUGGAUCGUCGCAAGACGAACCGAUGCGAAAGCAUUUGCCAAGAACGUUUUCGUUGAUCAAGAACGAAAGUUAGAGGUUCGAAGGCGAUCAGAUACCGCCCUAGUUCUAACCAUAAACGAUGCCAGCUAGCCAUCCGCCGAAGUUCCUUAUAUGACUCGGCGGGCAGCUUCCGGGAAACCAAAGCUCUUGGGUUCCGGGGGAAGUAUGGUUGCAAAGCU
rnacentral:rRNA from 2 species